rnacentral:rRNA from 1 species
UACGUAGGGUGCGAGCGUUGCCCGGAUUUAUUGGGCGUAAAGGGCGCGUAGGCGGGGCCGCGCGUCGCACGUGAAAUCUCCCGGCUUACCUGGGAGGGGUCGUGCGAUACGGCGGUCCUCGAGCGCGGGAGAGGGAAGCGGAAUUCCCGUGUAGUGGUGGAAUGCGUAGAGAUCGGGAGGAACACCAGUGGCGAAGGCGGCUUCCUGGACCGUGGCUGACGCUGAGGCGGCGAAAGGCGUGGGG